GGACAACUCUCAACUUUCUGGACACAGAAGGCACUUCAUUGUCUGCCUGAUUUGCCCUCUCUCAUUCUCAGGAUGGAAGACCUCUCUAGCCAAUGGGAAGAUGGCAAGAUGUGUGAAUGUACCCCUGGGAGCAAAAUCACAGAGCCUGUGUAAUCCUCUAUACAUGUAGGGACUGAGUGUGGGUAUCUCUGGCCAGUGUGGAUGUUGAGCACAUUGUUUCGUAACCCUGCCUCACUUGCU
rnacentral:lncRNA from 1 species